CAGUCUUUUUAAGUGUGUGUAUAUAACCCCAAACCUAAAAUCCUCAUUGCAUUGGAAUAACCCUCUACAGGUCAAGCAGGAAGUGGCAUGUUGCUGAGAUCGGCAGACAUUCCAGUCCAUGUAAUCUUCAGCUCUCCUGCCGUCCCUGACAAGGGCUUCCACUGUGUCAGGAAGAGCACAUAAAUUAGAAGCUACUUUUCUAUAUCCUGCAACAGGGAAUUGCAAUCUGAGUAUCUUUUUAAAUCCAUGGGAACAUCAAGGAGGUUUAAAUCAAGAUACAUUCUUCAAAGGCUACACCGAGAACUCCACACGCAUAGCCUCCAAUAAAGUCCCCAGGGUUCUCCACUGAAAGAGAUGGAACAGUGAUAAAGAAAAACAUCUCACCAGACUACUAAUGCAGGCAAUUAAGGCUAUGAAAUUUGAAUCUGUAAAUGAAAAUGAAUGCUGAAUAAAGGAACAUCCAAAGAAACAGCCAUCAAAUAUUUCAGGAGAAACUAGGAGAGUGAGUGUGGUCCCAAAACCAUGAGGAGCCUGGGAAACUUGGAUUCAAUGCACCAUAUUUUAUUAGCCCCUCAGGCAAAGAGUACACCAGGCACCACAAACAAGCUCCAUUGUCUCCUACCACUUUGCCCCAGCAACUUCAUGGCAUUAUAGUGAGGAUACCCUGUCUGACUAGGCACCUCAGCAGAGAAGAGUUCCUCAGUUCUACCCUGGGAGCUACACGGUGACACAUUCUACAAAGUGACACCACCUCCUGGCCUUCUUCAACUCACAGAAAUAUCUCCAAAAAGCAGGUAACACCAGGGUUUUUGGCGCUUCUGGCGGAGAAAUAUGACUGUCAAUUCAUUCUGCUUUUGAAUCUUCUUCUGUCCAAAUGUUACCAGCAAGACCUGUGUCUCUGCAGGAUUUGGGGAUCUGUAAACCUCAAAAUCCUGUUAAGCCUCACACUGCAUAGCAACAUGCUUUGUUUCUUAAUGACUCCAAGGGAAAGGCAAGUAGAUAUGGCAAACAUAAAACAGACAAAUAUUUUCAGAAAAACACAAAAGAUGAAUCACACCCAAGAAGACUCCAGUUCUGCUUCCUUCCCCUUCUUAAAAUCCUCCACCAAUAACAGGAGCUCAUGCGGGCCUAACAUUUACUCCCAUGCUUUUGGGAGCACUAGGUGA
rnacentral:lncRNA from 1 species